rnacentral:rRNA from 1 species
GGUGAACGCUAGCUACAGGCUUAACACAUGCAAGUCGAGGGGAAACGACAUCGUUCGCUUGCUUUUGAUGGGCGUCGACCGGCGCAAGGGUGAGUAACGCCUAUCCUACUUUCCCAUCACUUUGGAAUAACCUUGCGAAAAUAAGACUAAUUUCCCGUGAUAUCCCCAGAGGGCUUCGGAAUGUGGUUAAAGAUUUAUCGGUGAUGGAUGGGGAUGCGUCUGAUUAGCUUGUUGGCGGGGUAACGGCCCCCCAAGGCAACGAUCAGUAGGGGUGCUGAGAGGGAGGGACACCACAUUGGAGCUGGGGCACGGUCCAAACUCCUACGGGAGGGAGGAGGGAGGAAUAUUGGUAAAUGGGGGAGAGCCUGAACCAGCCAAGUAGCGUGCAGGAAGACGGGCCUAUGGGUUGUAAACUGCUUUUAGAAGGGAAUAAAGUGGGUGGCGGGUGACUUUUUGAAGGUACCGUAUGAAGAAGCACCGGCUAAUUACGUG